rnacentral:tRNA from 2 species
GCGUAAUUGGUUUAGUGGUAAAAUUCUCCGUUGCCAUUCGAGAAUCGGGGAGCCCUGGGUUCGAUUCCCAGAUUACGCA